UCUGAUUAACUCAUAAUAUGCUGAAAGGUAAAAGAGCAAUUACCAAACAAGUAAACAAACUAGAUGGCUUAAGAAUAGUAUUGAUAUAUGUAUAAAUUUUUUUUAUUUCUUUAAUGAGGUCAGUGUGUUUUCUUUUUAGUCUUCUUUCUAUGAGAGUUCUGCUCGCUUCAGCAGCCAGCUGUUUUGGAUAUGUUGCCGUUCUUUCCUUGUAUUUUUCUUGCGGACCUACCGAUAUAUU